rnacentral:rRNA from 1 species
GCAGCCUGAUCCAGCAAUGCCGCGUGUGUGAAGAAGGCCUUCGGGUUGUAAAGCACUUUUGUCCGGAAAGAAAACCUCGUGGUUAAUACCCGUGGGGGAUGACGGUACCGGAAGAAUAAGCACCGGCUAACUACGUGCCAGCAGCCGCGGUAAUACGUAGGGUGCAAGCGUUAAUCGGAAUUACUGGGCGUAAAGCGUGCGCAGGCGGUUCGCUAAGACAGAUGUGAAAUCCCCGGGCUUAACCUGGGAACUGCAUUUGUGACUGGCGGGCUAGAGUAUGGCAGAGGGGGGUAGAAUUCCACGUGUAGCAGUGAAAUGCGUAGAGAUGUGGAGGAAUACCGAUGGCGAAGGCAGCCCCCUGGGCCAAUACUGACGCUCAUGCACGAAAGCGUGGGGAGCAAACAGGAUUAGAUACCCUGGUAGUCCACGCCCUAAACGAUGUCAACUAGUUGUCGGGUCUUCAUUGACUUGGUAACGUAGCUAACGCGUGAAGUUGACCGCCUGGGGAGUACGGUCGCAAGAUUAAAACUCAAAGGAAUUGACGGGGACCCGCACAAGCGGUGGAUGAUGUGGAUUAAUUCGAUGCAACGCGAAAAACCUUACCUACCCUUGACAUGUAUGGAACCCUGCUGAGAG